CUUGUUGUAAAAACCGCAACCAUUAUAGUGCAUUUGCUUCCAAGGUUGGAAGGACACUGGAUGUAGGCAUUGUUGGCCGAACUAGUAUAAAAAUCAGUGUUUGAUUUUUCUAUCCCUGCACUCUUUCAAUUCAGUCGACUAUAUCUGUCUAGCAGUCAAUUACGUUUUUCCACUGCAUUACAUUUUUCAAUAACUUGCAUUUUAAGGAAAGAUCAAAAGCUUUGAACUUUCAUAUCAAGAUUGCGAAAAGAUUUUACAUUUGAACUAACACCAAUUCCCCCCCCC
rnacentral:lncRNA from 1 species